rnacentral:lncRNA from 1 species
AUAUAUAUAUAUGAAAAGUGAGAAAAACAGAUGAAACUUAGAUUGAUCAUAUUUGAUCAUAAAUCUGACCUGAUUCCUCAUUGUCUAUUCUGCACGGAUCUCCUAUAGCAAAAUAACAAGUUAACAAUCAAUUUUUUAUCAAUUUAAAUUUAAAAAAUAAUAAUAAAAAGAAAAUACUAUCAUUGUAGAUGAGAUAGAAGUUGACAUGUUAUUAUUAUGGAUGGAAAAGAAACCCAUGCACACAAAAGGUUGGAGAUUAUGUUUGUAUUUAUUUUAAAAAAUUUUUGUUUAUCA